UACGGGGGGGGUAAGCGUUGUUCGGAAUUACUGGGCGUAAAGGGCUCGUAGGUGGCCAACUAAGUCAUACGUGAAAUCCCUCGGCUUAACCGGGGAACUGCGUCUGAUACUGGAUGGCUUGAGGUUGGGAGAGGGAUGCGGAAUUCCAGGUGUAGCGGUGAAAUGCGCAGAUAUCAGGAGGAACACCGGUGGCGAAGGCGCCACUCUGGGCCGAAACUGACGCUGAGGAGCGAAAGCGUGGGUAGCAAACAGG
rnacentral:rRNA from 1 species